rnacentral:rRNA from 1 species
CUACGGGUGGCAGCAGUGGGGAAUAUUGCACAAUGGAGGAAACUCUGAUGCAGCAACGCCGCGUGGAGGAUGACACUUUUCGGAGCGUAAACUCCUUUUAUAUAGGAAGAAGAUGACGGUACUAUAUGAAUAAGCGCCGGCUAACUCCGUGCCAGCAGCCGCGGUAAUACGGAGGGCGCAAGCGUUACUCGGAAUCACUGGGCGUAAAGAGCGUGUAGGCGGAUUAAAAAGUCAGAAGUGAAAUCCUAUAGCUUAACUAUAGAACUGCUUCUGAAACUCUUAAUCUAGAAUAUGGGAGAGGGAGAUGGAAUUUCUGGUGUAGGGGUAAAAUCCGUAGAGAUCAGAAGGAAUACCGAUUGCGAAGGCGAUCUACUGGAACAUUAUUGACGCUGAGACGCGAAAGCGUGGGGAGCAAACAGGAUUAGAUACCCCCGUAGUC